CAGUCGAACGGAGAAUUUUAUUUCGGUAGAAUUCUUAGUGGCGAACGGGUGAGUAACGCGUAGGCAACCUACCCUUUAGACGGGGACAACAUUCCGAAAGGAGUGCUAAUACCGGAUGUGAUCAUCGUGCCGCAUGGCAGGAUGAAGAAAGAUGGCCUCUACAAGUAAGCUAUCGCUAAAGGAUGGGCCUGCGUCUGAUUAGCUAGUUGGUAGUGUAACGGACUACCAAGGCGAUGAUCAGUAGCCGGUCUGAGAGGAUGAACGGCCACAUUGGGACUGAGACACGGCCCAAACUCCUACGGGAGGCAGCAGUGGGGAAUCUUCCGCAAUGGACGAAAGUCUGGCGGAGCAACGCCGCGUGAGUGAUGAAGGAUUUCGGUCUGUAAAGCUCUGUUGUUUAUGACGAACGUGCAGUGUGUGAACAAUGCAUUGCAAUGACGGUAGUAAACGAGGAAGCCACGGCUAACUACGUGCCAGCAGCCGCGGUAAUACGUAGGUGGCGAGCGUUGUCCGGAAUUAUUGGGCGUAAAGAGCAUGUAGGCGGCUUAAUAAGUCGAGCGUGAAAAUGCGGGGCUCAACCCCGUAUGGCGCUGGAAACUGUUAGGCUUGAGUGCAGGAGAGGAAAGGGGAAUUCCCAGUGUAGCGGUGAAAUGCGUAGAUAUUGGGAGGAACACCAGUGGCGAAGGCGCCUUUCUGGACUGUGUCUGACGCUGAGAUGCGAAAGCCAGGGUAGCGAACGGGAUUAGAUACCCCGGUAGUCCUG
rnacentral:rRNA from 1 species